GACGAACGCUGGCGGCGUGCUUAACACAUGCAAGUCGAACGGUGAAGCGCCUUCCUUUUUGGUGGGUGUGGAUGAGUGGCGAACGGGUGAGUAACACGUGAGUAACCUGCCCCCUUCUUCUGGAUAACCGCAUGAAAGUGUGGCUAAUACGGGAUAUUCUGGGUCUGUCGCAUGAUGGGUCUGGGAAAGAUAUUGUUUCGGUGGGGGAUGGGCUCGCGGCUUAUCAGCUGGUUGGUGGGGUGAUGGCCUACCAAGGCGGUGACGGGUCGCCGGCCUGGGAGGGUGGACGGUCGCACUGGGGCUGCGGCCCGACCCGGACUCCUACGGGACGCAGAAGCGGACGGUAUGGAACAGUGGGCACAAGCCUAAUACGGCGGCGCCGCGUGUGCGAUGGCGGCCUUCGGGUUGUGAACCUCUUUCGCCAGUGAAGCAGGCCUGCCUCGUUUGUGGGUGGGUUGACGGUAGCUGGAUAAGAAGCGCCGGCUAACUACGUG
rnacentral:rRNA from 1 species